CGUUGUUCAGCCUGUGGAUGGUGGAUGCAGCUCUCCCAGUCAUCGUUCGUGAAUAGUUCACAUUCUUAGCUCUGUGAUUCUGUGUGUACCCAGGAACAUGGAUCGGUGCCACCAGUUGUUCGUUAUUCCUCCACUGCAGUCGACCGAGUACCGCGAACACUUUGAACAGUCACCACCGUAGCACGAAAGUGUCGAUUGCAGGACCUUUGACGCAGUACAUGUACUCGUAAUGGGACGUAGCAGGCGGACUGGCUGUGACGCACCUUCG